rnacentral:misc_RNA from 1 species
CGCAUCUUGCGCUCCAUGGUAUUCCGUGGAGCAUGCCUGUUCGAGUGUCACGUCAACACUCACCCUUGUGAUGUCAAAAUCAUUUGUGGUGGACUUGGACUGUGCCGUAGCUGGCUCGUCCUGAAAUUCAUUAGCUUGCGCUUUUAGAGUGCUGGGCACCGGUGUGAUAAUUAUCUGCGCCAAUGCCUCAAGGCCUCUUCAGCGGCGCGGCUUAUAACCGUCCUGACAGACACUAUUAUAAAGCUUUGGCCUCGAAUCAGGUAGGACUACCCGCUGAACUUAA